rnacentral:rRNA from 1 species
GCAUAUCAAUAAGCGGAGGAAAAGAAACCAACAGGGAUUACCUCAGUAACGGCGAGUGAAGCGGUAACAGCUCAAAUUUGAAAUCUGGCUCUUUUAGGGUCCGAGUUGUAAUUUGUAGAAGAUGCUUUGGGUGUGGCCCGGGUCUAAGUUCCUUGGAACAGGACGUCAUAGAGGGUGAGAAUCCCGUAUGUGACUCGGCGCCUUCGCCCGUGUAAAGCUCUUUCGACGAGUCGAGUUGUUUGGGAAUGCAGCUCAAAAUGGGUGGUAAAUUUCAUCUAAAGCUAAAUAUUGGCCAGAGACCGAUAGCGCACAAGUAGAGUGAUCGAAAGAUGAAAAGCACUUUGGAAAGAGAGUUAAACAGUACGUGAAAUUGUUGAAAGGGAAGCGCUUGCAACCAGACUUAGUGGCGGCCGAUCAUCCCGCGUUCUCGCGGGUGCACUCGGUCGUUUCUAGGCCAGCAUCGGUUUGGGUGGUGGGAUAAAGGCCUUGGGAAUGUAGCUUCUUUCGGGGAGUGUUAUAGCCCUCGGUGCAAUGCCGCCUACCCGGACCGAGGACCGCGCUUCGGCUAGGAUGCUGGCGUAAUGGUUGUAAGCGACCCGUCUUGAAACACGGACCAAGGAGUCUAACAUCUAUGCGAGUAUUUGGGUGUCAAACCCAUAUGCGUAAUGAAAGUGAACGGAGGUGAGAACCCUUAAGGGUGCAUCAUCGACCGAUCCUGAUGUCUUCGGAUGGAUUUGAGUAAGAGCAUAGCUGUUGGGGACCCGAAAGAUGGUGAACUAUGCCUAAAUAGGGUGAAGCCAGAGGAAACUCUGGUGGAGGCUCGCAGCGGUUCUGACGUGCAAAUCGAUCGUCAAAUUUGGGUAUAGGGGCGAAAGACUAAUCGAAACCAUCUAGUAGCUGGGUUCCUGCCGAAG